ACUCGAACCCCAGACCCACUGGAGAGCAGGACCCGGUCCAACCCACUGCGCCACCACACCCCCUUAGCUGCAUUAACAGAUAGGACUAGUUUUUUAACUUCAAGUACAGACAUAUCAUCAGAACCAACGUUCGCAAAAGACUCGACAACAAAUACUGAAACUAAUCAGAAAAUACUGCUGAUCGCUCCAUUCGUCCUGGUUGUGCUGGUGGCUGCAAUAAUCUUCAUAUUCAGGAAGAAAUGUAUAAAGGUUUACAAAGACACUGUCUUACCUGAGAAUGGAGUGGAGAAUAGGGUAUAUGGUAAAAAUGGUGACAUCGUUCUUCUGGGCGUGACACCAUGUGGUCCUGAAGGGAGAGACAACUUCUACUGCUACAUUCCAGAUGAAACUGCAGCUUGUAAGGGGUUGUCAUCCUGUUCAACGAACUAAAAUGAUGACCACUUGUAAACUGGAACAUUUACACACUUGAAUAUUUUAACUGUACAAGAAAAAUGUUCAGAAUUUUGUUUUUGUUUCUCUGGCAAAGAUGUUGUAAAUAGAUAUAAAUAUCCAUGGCAAAAUCUCAAAUGUGCUAUUAAAUGUAAAAGGCAAUAGGGUAAAAUUUAAGAGAUUUUCCAGUGUCUCACACAGUAGGCGUGUGGAGCCACCUUAAUUCAGCUCACUACCACAGUGUUUACAGCUCCUGCCUGUUAUCCGUCACUGUCAGUGAUCAACAGCAAAGUGAAGAAAGUGUGAGAUCAACAUGAUCAGCCGGAGAACCUUUCUAGCGAUACGAAAUUAGGGAUGAAAUAAGUUGCAUUUACUUUGUUUUUUAUCAGUAUUGCUAUUUCUGCAUGUACUGCAAAAAAAGUUUUAUGAAAGUAAUACUUGUCAUAUUAUACAAUUUUUUUUUCACAUUUAUGGAAUAUUUAUCUGACGUGUUUUCCCUGUUCAAACACCUUGUGACUUUAGUCUUCCUGUAGAGGUCAAACACAGAUGCUCCAAGAUCUUUUUCUAUUACAUUAUACAGUUAAGUUUAUAUUUUCUUAUUUCCAUAAGAAUCAAAGAACCCAGAUUUGUUUCUCACUCCUCCUGCAGUACCCUAGAGCAAGGUACUAACCAUGAAUUA